UGCCGAGGAGCCAAUGUGCCGAGGAGUUUCAGAUGCAAUACUUCAGAAAUAACAUGAAGGGUGGGAUUAAGGCACCUGAAACUUCAGGGAACCAGAGGCAGCAGACACGACACAUGAUGUUGCUAUGAACCUGAGCCCCAGAGUAAGAGCUGGAGGCCAUCUGAAGUUCAAGCAGAAAAUCUAAGAUCCUGUGGAGAAGAACUUAAAGGCAUCUAGUGCUGAGGCUUACAUUCCAACAAGAGACUGGGAGCUUAAAAAUUAGGAGCUGUGGCACCUUACACGAAGGAAAAAAUAGUGGGGAUGCAAAGUCCAGUGUUAAGAGGUACAUGCUGCUACAGCACCAGACUUUGGCGAUCAGGACAUGGUUUAUAUAGCUGAGAGGCUGAGGAACACUCAGGACAGUUACCUGCCAGCUGGGUCACUCUGCUCCCAAAUACCUUGAAGUUCAUACUGUGGCAUGGUGAAAUGUGAAGCAAAUAGAUCUCUGAUAUGGGAAAUUGCUGUAAAGAAAAUAAA